ACGGAUCCGGCGCCUUUCGUGGAAGAUUUCGCCCGCUUCUUAGGACCGACUGACCCGUGCUCGACCGCCGUUGGCACGGAACGCUUCUCCACUUCGGUCUUCGAAGGUCUCGUUCGAAUAUUUGCUACUACCACCGAGAUCUGCACCCGCGCUUCUUAGGACCAAC